AUCCCCAUGGUCAUGUCUAAAAUCGAGUGGAUGAGCCGAGCGGUGACUGUGAAGACACUGCCUGGUCCAGCUCCCUCGCUCACUAGCGCCGCCUUCUGAACAAGUCAUUUACGUCUGACAGCCUCGGUCUCCUCAAGUACCGGAUGGGUCCGCCACCCCCACCCUGGCUCCUUCUCAGGCCACUGGGUGCUUGAGACUUCUUCGAGGGACGAGGGUCACCCACAGGCCGGUAUCUCUGGGUUGGCAAGAGGGAGGCUGGCCAAGGGGAAGGAAGACCACCGCCAACAAGAAGGGGCUCCUGCACCAGGACAGCCAAGCCCUGCACUCACUCAGGUUGCAGGAAAGUGCCGCUGAGAUGCCAGAACAAAGAUUUCCACUUGACUGACAGCUCCACGGAGGGUCUAUACAGCAGUGUCAGCCUGUGGGUGGGACUACACCAAGCAGGGAUCCUCAUGAGAUGCCCUUGUGGGACGUGAUCAAAUCCUACUACCUCUUUGCCCAAAACCCUCCAAGAGACCCCAGGGGUCAGAAGAGGCAGCACGAGAAACCCAAGAUGUUGAGAAGGCGUCCGUCUUUAUCUGUGGAUUGGGGGCCAGCUGCCUGUGCAGCAGACCAUCUCAUUCACCGCUCGGUGGCAAUCAGCGGGGAUUUACUGAGGCCAUCCCAGCAGGAGAGCGAAAACCAAGCCGCCCAAAGAAGAAAAGCGUCCAAAAGCCAGGCCUGCGUCACCGAGGUGUCGCCGCCCCAUAAAGGAGAACAGCGAGGCCCCUGGGAGCCGACGCGUCCCCACCGUGGGGGCAUGAGAUGGAGCCAUAAAGCCCUCUGGGUGUCUCCCUGUCCUCACACGUCCCACCUAUAAAUGGU
rnacentral:lncRNA from 1 species